rnacentral:rRNA from 1 species
AUUGAACGCAGGCGGCAGGCUUAACACAUGCAAGUCGAGCGGGGGAAGGUAGCUUGCUACCGGACCUAGCGGCGGACGGGUGAGUAAUGCUUAGGAAUCUGCCUAUUAGUGGGGGACAACAUCUCGAAAGGGAUGCUAAUACCGCAUACGUCCUACGGGAGAAAGCAGGGGAUCUUCGGACCUUGCGCUAAUAGAUGAACCUAAGUCGGAUUAGCUAGUUGGUGGGGUAAAGGCCUACCAAGGCGACGAUCUGUAGCGGGUCUGAGAGGAUGAUCCGCCACACUGGGACUGAGACACGGCCCAGACUCCUACGGGAGGCAGCAGUGGGGAAUAUUGGACAAUGGGGGGAACCCUGAUCCAGCCAUGCCGCGUGUGUGAAGAAGGCCUUAUGGUUGUAAAGCACUUUAAGCGAGGAGGAGGCUACUCUAGUUAAUACCUAGGGAUAGUGGACGUUACUCGCAGAAUAAGCACCGGCUAACUCUGUGCCAGCAGCCGCAGUAA